UACGAAGGGGGCUAGCGUUGUUCGGAAUUACUGGGCGUAAAGCGUAUGCAGGCGGAUCGUUAAGUCGGGGGUGAAAUCCCGAGGCUCAACCUCGGAACUGCCUUUGAUACUGCAAAUCUCGAGUCCGGAAGAGGUGAGUGGAAUUCCUAGUGUAGAGGUGAAAUUCGUAGAUAUUAGGAAGAACACCAGUGGCGAAGGCGGCUCACUGGUCCGGUACUGACGCUGAGGUGCGAAAGCGUGGGGAGCAAACAGG
rnacentral:rRNA from 1 species